ACGACAAAUGAAGUGUAACUCUCUAGCCUCUGCACCUCAACUCCACUCUCACUUUCAUGCGGUGGACCCCGUUACUUCAAGCAACUUUGUGGAAGACUAGGAGAAAUCCCAGUGGGAAACGGAGUCGACAAACAGACGAGAGUACAGGAGGGAUUACUGGCGCAAAUAUUUUGGUCCAAUAAUCUGGUGAUCUUAAAGCGAGGGAAGAAUCACGUAAGGCUUUAUUAAUUAACAAGAACAAGCCAUAUCAUCACAAUAUAUACGGAUGUCAAAUAUUUAAAUAAGGCUACACUAGAAGAUUCGCUCUGAUAAUCCUUUUGACUAAUUUUGUCAUUUGUGGGGUGGGAAUAUUAUGAGUGGUAUAUAAUAGUAUAAUUUUUGUGACUAGUAUGUCUGAGAAAUCUAUAAAUAUAAAAGAAAGUCAGGUUUGUUACAACACUUAUACCUCAAGAACAGCUGGACCGAUUAGGCUAAAAAUUGGUGGAGAGGAGCUUAGAUCUAGGAGAAGAACAUAGGAUACUUAUGGUAGAGGUAGAGUUCAGUAGAGUAUGGUAGAGUAGGUGUUGGGUGGGAGUAUGGUAGGGUAGCUGUUACUCUUUAACGCCGCAACUACUGAACCGAUUUGGCUGAAAUUUAUAACGAAGAUAGAUAUUACCCUGGAUUAAUUUAGGAAUAUCCCGGAAAAUCUAUGGUUCCCGCGGGAUUUGUGAAAAACUGAACUUUCCACGUGGACGAAGUCGCGGGCAUCCGCUAGUUUAAUAUAAUUUUGGUAAAAAUUGUUUACGAUUUUGACGAAGGUAAAUCAAAAAAUCAUGAUAAUUAAUUUUACUUUACAGGUCAAAUAUGCUUCAGACGUCUUCAGUUUUAGAGGUGUACACUGCCUUACUUUGGAAAAUGAAGUCAUAUUAUAAAGAACUUCGUUAUAGUGUUCCAUAUGUCAACAUGACUGCCUCUGUGGUCCAGUGGUUAGUCUAUGUGUUCACAAGGUCCUGGGUUCAAAUCCUGGGUAGAGCUAAAUGAGAUACUGAGUUUUUCCUUCUUUUAAGAAAUUUUUAGUUAUAAUUAUCAGCCGUGAGUUGGAAAGUUGGUGGCAUUACACCCCAUUAGUUUUAGUUCACAAACGCCAUUUAGAUUGAAACUUUUUCUCCUUCUCCUAGAACUAUGAUUGAGGUGUAAUUUUUUCGGAAACACAUUUGAAAAGCUUUUGAAAAAAUUAAAGGGCUGCUUGCAAAAAUUGCAAAAGUUAUAAACAAUUAACUAAAAUAUAAGGGGUCAAUUAUUAUGCUUCGGACGUCUUCAGUUACAGAGGUACACUGUACACUGCCUUUUACUUGGGAAAAUGAAGUCAUACGAAGAUCUUAGUUAUAGUGUUCCAUAAUUAUGUUAACAUAACUCUCUUACAUACUUAUAACAUAAGCCUCUCUGGUUCAGUGGUUACCCUAUGUGGUCACGAGGUCCGGGGUUAUAUAAGAUACUGAGCUUUUCAUCUAAGAAAUUUUGACUUAUAAUUCUCAGUCCUUAGUUGGGAAUUUAGUGGUGUUACACCCUGUGCCUCAGAGUGCAUGUUAACCUGUCCCGGACAAGGCCACGUCCCGUAAAUAAUGGAUAAAACGCAAAUGGUAGAUACGCCACCUAAUUCUACAAUUCUACGUUUUAUACUAAUUUACUACCCUCUAUAAGUGUACAAGUUUUUAAAAUAAUGGUUUUUUCGAUUCAAAAUUAGAUUUCAUCAUUUUUUACCGGACAAUGUGUUUUAAAUCGGGUCCUAAUGAAAGAAAAAGGUGGUGUAUCUAUCAUAUUAGUCUGAUCUACAUGUGCUCUUUAGUAUAAAAAAA